UUCUCGACCUUCUGCAUCCAAAGACGAAGAUCUCCUUCUCGCCUCUGCUUUCAUUCUCCUCAACUUUAAAAAAUCUUUCAGCAGCCAAUUAAUCAAAACUAUAUAUUCAAUUCUGUUUUAUCUUGAUCUCUCGGUCUUCAAAACCCAUAACCAGAAUCACUGUCAUUUUUUUAAAUUGCAACAAGUCCUGCCAUCCUCUUUUCCUCUCUAUUCACUCUUCUCGCGUUACAGCCAAGAUCUUUGACAGAGAAUGAGAUGGCUGAUGAUUAGUAAUCGAUCAUUCUGAUAUCCAUUCGUUUGUUGUUCAGGUAAAACUUAAUAAGUGAAUUACUUGAGUUGCAGAGGUGCUGUUUUGUGCAAAUUGAACAGGUAUUGGUUUAUUUUACAAUUACUCCUUUCCUUCGUCUAUAUUGUUUUAAUAUUGGAGACCAGGUCAGCUCAUUCUUUUUUCCCCGAUCAUAUUGGAUUUUGAUUAAUUUAUGAGAGUUUUUCUUCAUACCUCUUAAAUUGACACUUGAACCUCCAU